AAGUCGACGGUAAGGCCCCUUCCGGGGGUACACGAGUGGCGACCGGGUGGAGUAACGCGUGGGUACCCUACCCAGAGGUGGGGGAUAGCUCCCGGGAAACCCGGAGGUAAUACCCGCAUAAGGUCCAGACAACGCGAGUUGACUGGAGGAAAGGCGGGGAUCUUCGGACCCCGUCGCUUCUGGAUGGGCCCGCGUCCGAUUAGCUUGUUGGUGAGGUAAUGGCUCACCAAGGCUUCGAUCGGUAGCCGGCUUGAGAGGGUGAUCGGCCACAUUUGGGACUGAGACACGGCCCAGACUCUCUACGGGAGGCAGCAGUGGGGGAAUUUUGGGCAAUGGGGGAAACCCUGACCCAGCGACGCCGCGUGGGGGAUGACGGUCUUCGGAUUGUAAACCCCUGUCAGGUGGGAAGAAGAGCUUGUCGGUUAAUACCCGGCAGGAAUUGACGGUACCACCAAAGGAAGCCCCGGCUAACUCCGUGCCAGCAGCCGCGGUAAUACGGAGGGGGCAAGCGUUAUUCGGAUUUACUGGGCGUAAAGCGCACGUAGGCGGCAAAAUAAGUCAAAGGUGAAAGCCCUCGGCUCAACCGAGGAACUGCCUUUGAAACUGUUUUGCUUGAGUCCGGGAGGGGGGAGCGGAAUUCCCAGUGUAGCGGUGAAAUGCGUAGAUACUGGGAGGAACACCGGUGGCGAAGGCGGCUCCCUGGACCGGUACUGACGCUGAGGUGCGAAAGCGUGGGUAGCAAACAGGAUUAGAUACCCUGGUAGUCC
rnacentral:rRNA from 1 species